CGCCGGGAGCUGUGCGGCAGGAAUUUGGUGAACCCCGCCAGGGCCGGAAGGCAGCAACGGUAAUCAGAGGACUGGGCGACGCAGUAUUCCCGGCGCUU
rnacentral:SRP_RNA from 2 species